UACAGAGGUCUCAAGCGUUGUUCGGAUUCAUUGGGCGUAAAGGGUGUGUAGGUGGCGCGCUAAGUCGGGUGUGAAAUUUCGGAGCUUAACUCCGAAACUGCAUUCGAUACUGGCGUGCUUGAGGACUGGAGAGGAGACUGGAAUUCAUGGUGUAGCAGUGAAAUGCGCAGAUAUCAGGAGGAACACCAGCGGCGAAGGCGGCGCUCUGGGCCGGUACUGACGCUGAGGUGCGAAAGCGUGGGGAGCAAACAGG
rnacentral:rRNA from 1 species